UGUCUUUUUGAAAAUAAUAUAAAGUCUAAUCUGCCCACUGAUUGAAUAAUUGAAGGGCUGCAGUAUAUUGACUGUACAAAGGUAGCAUAAUCAUUAGUCAUUUAAUUGAUGACUUGUAUGAAGGAUUGGAUGAAAUAUAGACUGUCUCUUAGUUAAAUAUAGAAUUUAAUUUUUUAAUUAAAAAGUUAAAAUAAUUUAAAAAGACGAGAAGACCCUAUAGAGUUUUAUAAAUAAAUUAAUUGAGAUUAUUUAUUAAAUAAAAAUUAAAAUUAAGUUGUUUAUUAUAUUGGGGUGAUAGAAAAAUGUAAUUAACUUUUUUUUUAUAUGUGAAAACAUUUAUAAGUGAUUAUAUGAUCCAAUAUUAUUGAUUAUAAGAAAAAAUUACCUUAGGGAUAACAGCGUAAUUUUUUUUUUUAGUUCAUAUAAGAAAAAGAGUUUGCGACCUCGAUGUUGGAUUAAGAUAAAAUUUAAAUGCAGAAG
rnacentral:rRNA from 1 species